UACAGAGGGGGCCAGCGUUAUUCGGAAUUAUUGGGCGUAAAGGGCGCGUAGGCGGCCAUGCGUGUCUCCCGUGAAAUCCCUCGGCUCAACCGAGGACGUGCGGAAGAAACUGCAAGGCUCGAGUCCGGAAGAGGGGGGCGGAAUUCCCAGUGUAGCGGUGAAAUGCGUAGAUAUUGGGAGGAACACCAGUGGCGAAGGCGGCUCACUGGACCGGUACUGACGCUGAUGCGCGAAAGCGUGGGGAGCAAACGGG
rnacentral:rRNA from 1 species